rnacentral:rRNA from 1 species
UACGAAGGGGGCUAGCGUUGCUCGGAAUCACUGGGCGUAAAGCGCACGUAGGCGGAUUUCUAAGUCAGGGGUGAAAUCCUGGAGCUCAACUCCAGAACUGCCUUUGAUACUGGGAAUCUCGAGUCCGGGAGAGGUGAGUGGAACUGCGAGUGUAGAGGUGAAAUUCGUAGAUAUUCGCAAGAACACCAGUGGCGGAGGCGGCUCACUGGCCCGGUACUGACGCUGAGGUGCGAAAGCGUGGGGAGCAAACAGG